GUCUCAGUAGCGUAGUGGUCAGCGCGCGAGCCCUGGUUAGGACCCGAGUUCGAUUCCCGCCUGAGAUG
rnacentral:tRNA from 1 species